ACCGAGAACUAUUACAAAACAGCGACGAUGCCGAGUCGUCUGAGGUAGAAAUAGAAUUUUGCAGUGGUGAUUCUCCAGCGCCUGCUCUACAUUCGGACCCAAACUGUGCUCAUUUACCACCUUGUCACUCCAUUAUCUAUCGUAACAACGGCUUGCCUUUCAACGAUGAUUCAUGGAAGCGUGUCACGGUUAUAGCCGAAGGAAAUCCAGAUCCAGAAAAAUUUGGUUUCUUCGGAGUUGGCCUGUUAUCCAUCUUUUCUCUCUGCGAU